CUGUUGUCGUAGAGUAACAUUCAAAACUAUUAUUAGAUCGGAGCUGAAACGAUCCAUUAUGACAAUUGUUUUAAUUGUUCACGUUAUCAAUACAGAAGGAGUUAUAAACAGGGUUUCCUAGCUUGCCUGUCAGAUGCGUUCAAUGUUUGAUGGUGAACAGUUGUAGAUUGACAAGACAUUUAAUUGGUGGACCAAAAAGCCGUAUCAGUUUUCAUAUUCUUCAAGAUCGCGUGGGCCACGUAAGUUUUUAUUUCGUUCUGAUUAAGAUUACUUAAGCCUGGUUUCCAUAUGGUCGUAACGGUCGUAAAGAUUGAGUCACGAUUUUUCUCAUCGGCCGAAAUACAACAUUUUAGAACUGAAAAUACGCGGAGUGAUUAUAACUAGAGAAUACUUAUGAAUUAUAUGUGGUUUCCAGGUAUAAACAAUAAAAAUAGGUCCGCAACGCGUACAUGUGUCUCUCGCCCGAAUGUACAGACUGUGCGUUCCCUCUUGUUGUACGGUCACAACAUUAUCGUGGGGGCAUAGUCUGGGGUUAUGUUUGUUUGCCUAAAUUUCAAGUCCUUGAAAGCUGUUUGUUCCAACAACUGGAAUAACAACUGAGAGGUUCAAUCCAAGUUCGUUUUGAUGCGAUAACCAAACAAGUAGAAGGUGCUAUAAUUAAGCAAGUAGGGCAAAAAGGCAAAGCAAUUCCCAAUUAUUUAAUUUUUUGUAAUUCAAGCUGCUCAUUGAUUGCAACCUAACGGCUAACACACAGAAACUUACAAGACCAAUGGCAAUAUAUCGUAUUGUAUAUAUCAAGUGUGUAUGUUGAUAGUACAUCAGGAUUCAGGAGAAAAUUGCAAUAAAGAAUUACCAGUAUAAAUCAAUCCUAAAGCAGGCACAAAUAUACCAAUUAUUGAAAGAGUGCAUACUGUAUUUAUAUGCUGCUGUUCACUAAUAGUCAAACCAUUACUUAAUUAAAACACACGUCUAUCAUACGCCUUUUUAGAAUGUACAUAACCAGGGACGCCCGAAGAUCGAUAAUUGGGGGGGGGCAGAUAUUCAUAUAUUCCUGUUCUGCCCAAUUAAUUUCUUUUGAAAUCGAUUGUUUUUACAGUCUGUGAACACGAAUAUAUGAAUAUCUGCCCCCCCCCCAAAUAUCGAUCUUCCGGCGUCCCUGUACAUAACCCUUUGAAAUCUGACAAUGGCCAUAAGCUCUGAACAGCUUUGUUGGGAUAUAAACUUCUGAAUUCCUCAUUUCUGACCAUGUUUCUCACACUAUUCAUAAGCUAGAAAAUUCCAGCUCGUCAAUGUUUUGACAUGUUUCGGCAAAUCUAAAUCGUAUUUCCGGUCAAAAAUAUCCCGCUGACUUCAUUAUUAACAUCGCAACAGAUUGAAAUACGGAAAUAAAAGAUCAAAAACUGAGGCUACAAGCUUGAAAAUAAUUCUGUAAAUAGUGCUUUUGAUUGUGAAUCGAACAAGAUAACAACGAAAAAGAUAUGUUCGAAGGGGCCGAAGUUGUGUCCGGCAAAGUGUAUAUGGCUUUAGUGAUACAUGUUUACAUUUUUCGGUAAUUCAAGUUUUUGAAAUACAGUAGAACCCGGCCACCUCGAACUCCCAAGAAGAACGAAAAAUUGUUUGAGUUAGCGAGGGUUCGAAUUAACCGGAGUUGGUGUCAGAUUUCGUUUAUUAUGUUAAUAAUUAAUAAUUAAUAAGGUAUAAAAGUUUUAUUAUACUGUUCAUCAAAGUUACAAAAAGUUUAAUUGUGCAUCCUUAUAACUAAAGUAUUUUAGUCAGUAUCUUUUUAACUUGGGUGAUGGAGAAGGCAUGCAAGUUCCAUGCAAACUAAAGUUCUUUGGACAGGAAAAAUAUGUAGAGAUUUACAAAAGGAACUAAAAAACCGACUAAAUUGUUGUUAUUUGAAUAAAAAUCCAAAUUACCGGUUGUCAAAAUGCUAUGUUCUGACAUUUUAAGGUUUGCCGCUCCACCACUCGAAAACAAAGUUCGAGUUAACGGGAUAAAUUUGACCGAGGGAAAACAAAAUUUGUUCGAAUUAGCGAAGAGUUCGAGUUAAGCGAGUUCGAGUUAGCGGGGGACUACUGUAUGAUAUUUCUUGGACCCUAAAAGGUCAUAAAUCGCGAUAAUGUUUGUCUUUGACUAUUAAAACUAUCGUCAGGACUUACUGUCUUGAUAUUUUUUCACUGAAUCGAAAUAUCGAAUGGUGGUAUUUUCAUCUACAUAUUAUUUACUGAGCCGAAUAUAUGAACCUGCAAAAUAGUAUUCCACUAUCGACCUAGUUUUCUCAGGGUUAAAACUCACAUGUCUACCAUGCGCCUUUUUAGCAUAGGCGUACGAGGCGGGGGGUGCCCCCCCCCCCAGUUUAGUCAGAAAUAUUCAUUAGUCGGGCAAUUUGUACUUAAGAGUCGAUCAAUCUUCCUGUGUACUGACUAAUCAAUUAGGUCUUUCCAACAAACAAAUGUUAUUUGAAAAUAGUAAAAAUGCGAAAUAUUUAAAAAUAUUCAAACUAGAAUAUAUGCUUGCAUAAAAGUGACAAAAAUAAUUAAAAUAAACAUGCUUUUCCAUUCGCGCCACUGGCUAUGUACCGUAACUGAUUGGCGCACGCGCUAACUAGCGCUAAACAGACAUCACUCCAAACGAAUCGUGAAGAGACUUUAUCAUUUUAAAGAAAAUCAUAUAUUGAAGCUGUUAAUUGUAACAACGUUGUUCACCAUGUAGUUAUUAAGUAGGUAUUAUGUCAGCGUAUGAAAAAUAUCACUCAUGCCCUGGUAUACGCUGACAUACGUUUCAAACACGGUCGCAUUACUCGCAUACGACGGUAUACGCUGGCAUACGGUGAGACCCGGCGAAAUUAAACAGAAAAAAUUUUUAAGCAUGCUUAAAAAUUUUGUGCGUAUCCGGACGUAUGUUUUAUACGAUAAGCUUACUCUAGACGCACGCUGAAUAAGUAAGUAAGUAAGUAAGUAAGUAAGUGAACUUUAUAUAACCACGGUAGACUCAUCAGGAUUUACAAUAAAAUAGACAAAGGAGAUUACAAAUAACAAAAUAUGGAAAUGCAUUAUUAAUACCUAUAUAGAGGUACGCCAGAGGUACGGUACUCAUACACUGGCAUUUCAACGGACAUGGACUCCAGUCUUCUAUAAAGAAAAUUCCAUCUUGUCAACGAUUCCAACUACGUCAUUGAUGUUCUGCAGAGAGAUGUUUCAGUGGGUAACGAAGGGUGAGGACGUACCUUCGUUCCACAAUGGGUCAAGACAGAAUCAUUGAUGUUUUUGGCCAACGAAGUCACCGUGCCUCACAUUUCUUUUGACAGUAUACAUAAUAUAAUACACGGGAUAAACUUGUUGGGGAGAUUAGGUUAGGUUUUCGGUAAAAGUUACAUUUAUGAUAUUGAAAUAGUCAUCAGACAUAAUGUUGCUUCAUUAAUUUUCUCUUCGUUCCUCGUCCGCUUCAAGCACAAAAUUUCCGACCCCAAAACGCAGGAAGUUCUCGCGCCUUCGCCGCUCGUCGGGCAGAUUGGCAUCUGCCCCCCUUAAAUUUCUAAGCCCGUACGCCUAUGCUUUUUAGAAUGUACAUAUCCGUUUGAAACCUAAAUUCUUUCCCGCCGACAACAACCAUACUGUAUUAAAGCUGUACUAAACAGCUUUGUUGCCAUUGUUGGAAUAUAAUAUGAACUUCUGAAUUUCUCAUUUCUGACACCAGUCAUAAGCUACAACAGUUCCAACUAUAGUCAUAAGCUAAAAAAUUCCAGACGUCAUCUUAUCUGUGGAAACUAGUGAACCACACGUUGUUUUUUUCUAAACAAAUAAUUAUGUUUGCAAACGUACAAAUUCACUAAAUUCAAGUUGCGAUAAUGGCGAUAUUCCGAAUGGUGCCGUACAAGUUUUCGAAAUUAUGCCGAACAAAGGAUCGUGGAACUAUCGGGCACCAUUCAGCAAUUCCCCAAGUUUAACAAUGCUCAUGAAACUUUCAGUAUAACAUAGUGUCGCCACCCGCGAACGGGCGGAGACACAAAAACUGGCCGUUAAGAAAGAUCGUGACUCUAUUUUUACGACUCAUUACGACUGGAAACCAUUAAAGCCUGGUUUCCAUAUGGUCGUAAACGAAGUGCGAUUUCUUCCGCGUUACACGGUGGUGGCAAGCAGAAGAUGUAUUCUGCAUGUGCACGAAGUUUUAUCUGGUUUGUAGAUCUGCGGCAGCGGAAAUCCUUAGCACGGUCAAAAUAGACGACCCAGAAGCUUCACUUAAUAUAUAAUCCAUUAUUUUAGUGUUGACCAGAAUUCUGCAUUAGAACUUUGCGCACCAACUUCAAUGUACCAUAUAUUGAGUUAAAAUAAAUUUCUGUUGGGUAUUCAUGGGUUAAUAACUCAUGAAUACCCAACCACUAGACAUAGCGGGCUUUUUUGGGCAUUUUGUGAAGUUUUAUACAGUUUUUCAAAAAUGAAUAAUUCACGACUUAGAUGCAUAUUUUUGGACAAUGAUUACUAAAUAAUUGUUCAAACACAAAAACUAUCUUACUUCUUAAAAGUAUCAAAAGGACUUGCUUGUUUUAUUGCCAGGAAUCAUUUGGAGAUACUGUUUGAGAUGGAUUCUAAAUUUGUGAUUUUCUUGUUCUGUGUAAUCUUUAUGGUUGAGACAGGGGUCAGAGGUGAAAGUAAAUCCAAAAGCAAGGUAAGGAUUCUCCUUUUCGUUGUCAUUAUAGCUAAGCUUCGUAUUACUGCAGUAUAUGGAAAUAAAUUAAAGCAUUUUAAUAGACUGACAGUCUGACAACAUGCAGCGCUAAAACAUAUUUUGGUUGCAGUGACAAACCUACUAACCUAGCCUCUGUAUACAGACUGUAUUAGUCUGUAAUACAGCUUGUGGAAAUUCGUGGCAUUGCUUGUCGACCCCCAGCAGCGCUACCAAGAUCUGGGUAGUUGAUUCUGAUUGGUCACGACCGAAUGUAAUGGAUUUUGAUUGGCUAGUCUUAAAUAUCAACAAACGUUGGAAUUUGAUUUUCACAAUCAAAAUAAUACUUUCUUGACACUUAUAAGCGAUGUUCAUUGUAAAUUUUCUUUCUUUCUUUGUUUCUCGAACUAUUUAAUUUUCUGUACAGGCUAUGACAGACCUAUAAUAUGUCAGUUUAGCUCGGUUUAUAAUCAACUCUGUUCAAUACCAGCUUCUCUUUUGGUUUUGGCUGAGAAACCUUUCAACGAUCAAAAAUACUUAUCGUAGAUUUCGUAUGCCCCAGAAUCGCUCGCAUUUGCUUUCGUGCAGCAUUAAGAAAAGUAAUCGAUUAGCGUUAUCCUUAACAGUCAUUGCUACUAUGAAUAUAUCCAUUCCAAAUUCCUUUCAAUUGAUGCAAAACAGUGGAUAAAUCAAUAAUAUGACAAUGCAGAUAAACCUCACUCCUAAUUAUAAAGCUGUGACGAGUAUGUUAUUGGUUAUAUUCUAUUCUAAACAAUUUGUUGUUAUUUUUACUAGCCUUCUCAGGCAACCUGUGCUUCAGCAGGUAUCCCAGGUAUCCCAGGUGUUCCAGGAAAUCCCGGAAGAGAUGGCCUGCCUGGGGCAACUGGUCCUGCUGGGGCGAAAGGAGAUCCUGGGAGGCCUGGGAAAACAGGAAAUGUAGAACUUGUGACGUCACCUUGGAAACAAUGUGUGUGGAAAAGGGCUGAUAGCAAAGACACAGGAUUGAUACAG